CCUACGGGAGGCAGCAGUGAGGAAUAUUGGUCAAUGGGCGGGAGCCUGAACCAGCCAAGUCGCGUGAGGGAAGACGGUCCUAUGGAUUGUAAACCUCUUUAGGCGGGGAGCAAUGCCGGGCACGCGUGCCCGGAGGGAGAGUACCCGCAGAAUAAGCAUCGGCUAACUCCGUGCCAGCCGCCGCGGUAAUACGGAGGAUGCGAGCGUUAUCCGGAUUUAUUGGGUUUAAGGGGUGCGUAGGCGGAUUUUUAAGUCAGCGGUAAAAUGUCGGGGCUCAACCGGGACCGGCCGUUGAAACUGGGGAACUGGAGUGGGCGAGAGGAAUGCGGAAUGCGUGGUGUAGCGGUGAAAUGCAUAGAUAUCACGCAGAACUCCGAUGGCGAAGGCAGCAAACCGGCGCCCGACUGACGCUGAGGAACGAAAGCGUGGGGAGCGAACAGGAUUAGAUACCCGAGUAGUC
rnacentral:rRNA from 1 species